UAAUUUGCCACCCAAGGCAUUGCGAUCUAAGAUUAGACGCAUCACAUCUCCAGACAAGUCAACCUGCUCACCAUGCAUCCCCAAGCAACAGGUUCCAAACCAGGCGAUGCCGUCAGCCUCGGUCCACCAUGUGGAACCAACACAUUCUGAGAAGUCAAAUGAUUCAAUUGAUGCUGGCAGUUUACUCUCGGUCAUUUAACAGCUGGAGACUGACCAGACAAAUGUGGAACCAUUACCCUGGGAAAAGACAGUCCACAGCAAAUCAACCCAUAUUCCCUCCGAAGACAAGUCCAAAUUAUCAUCAUGCAUGAUACCCAAUAUUUUGUAGGAAAUCAAACCAGAUCCCCAGGAAACCAAUGCAGCCACAAUCACGUCGGAGUCAAAGAUCCAGCCAGUUGAGGUUCAACUGACUGGCAAAAAUCAAGAAGCCAAAACAAAAGCAUCCUGGAACAAGAACAACAGAUCCACACCAACAGUGCUGGCCAGUCUCAAACCAGAAGACAAGUAACACCCUCUAGUUCCACCAAGAAACACCACAUAGGCUGUCAAGGUGUCCUCCUCCCAAGUUUAAACACAACUUCCGGUUCUGGUCUCU